rnacentral:lncRNA from 1 species
GAGAAGACAGAGGAGAAGACAGCACAUUCUCAAACCAGUCAAGACCAAAUCCCUACAUCUGACCAAGUGCCAUUCAACUUGUCUUAUCCCCUAGGCGAAAGAGAAAGUGUCUAUGUUUCUCAGUGGAAAACACUCUAUAAACAAUGCUGACUACACAAGAAAAGCCACUGACAAGGCCUUUUAUUACCCAACUUGGGGCCCUUGUGAUUUUCUUUAUGGGAGAGUAUCCUUGUCCAUCACUCCAAGCACUGCUCCCUGGCCCUGGCGGCUUCUUAAACCAGCCCAGAGAAAGUAAUACAUAACAAAGGGCCAAGAAAAAUGGGAAAUAAAGACCAUACAGUGGGUGACAAGUUCCCCCACUCAAGCAACUAGCCAGUGCCGCAGGCCAGAAUUGAUUUUCUAUACGACAUCAGAAAGGAUUACCUCUCCCCCACAAUACCGCCCAGGGGGAUGGAGUGCAAAUCAUAAUUAAUUCAGGCAAAUUCAAUUCUGAGAGUCCGAGUGACAAAUACUUUCCUUAUAAUAUAAAGCACAGUCUCAAAACAUCUUAAAACAGUUGGUGGGAGCUAUAGCAACACACUCAAUGCAAUAAUGACACGAAGCUACAUAAUAAAAUGCCUACAACCAAAUAAUAAUUCUUCCAAGUCAGGAAAGAAUAUUCUUUUAAAAAAUAAAUUCAAGCUUCAAAGAAAAUGCAUUUCCAUUAAUAAUGCUGCCUCUCCUUCCUUCCUGAUGGUAUGGGGUAUGUGGGAGUGGUGGUCAAUUUAAUUCCUUAACUAUCUUCGUCCACUAGACCCACAAAAAAUAUUCUCUGUGUUAGGGGAAAAAAUUAUUAUUGUACUCCUGAUACAAGGAAUCAGAUGGGAGAGGAGAGGUUGAUUCCAUUGCCAGUGUGACCUAAACCCACAAGAACCUAAAAACAGCAUAACAGUCAACAACACAUUAGCCACAUCAGCAGAGGCGUAUUAGUGAUACCCAUAAUUCAAAACAGACAAAACACAAUUUCUUCUUGGUUUCAGAGUCUAGGCCAUUGAGUGGUAGGGUCACAUAGAUGGAAAAACAUUGGAUCAGCAGGCAGAUAUCCCAAAAUCUAGUUGCAAUCCCUGAACUAAUCAACUAGAGGCCUUGGGAUAAUCAAUGCCUCUCUGGAGGGCCUGAGUCUCCUCUCUAAAAUGAAAUGGUUGACUUUCAUGUCUCCAUAUGUUUGUUCAAUUCUAAUAUUCUAUGACUGUGUGAUUAUUACAAUCUUCCUAAAGAUAUUCUGCUUAGAAUUAGGUUAAAUGAGUUUCUAUUCCUUGACCCCAACAGCUAGGCAAGGGUGAAAACACGCUGAGUGAAAAAGAAGCUGACAUUCUAGAAUUCACAAUUAGAGGGUUAGCCCCAAAGCAGAAAAUCAGAAGUUGACUCUGUGUGUGUGUGUGUGUGUGUGUGUGUGUGUGUGUGUGUAUGUGUACAUGUCAUAUAUGCACAUACAUAUUCUUGGCCAAAAUACUUCUCAUCAUCACUAAUUUUUAUUAAGUGCCCAUCAGGGAACACCUCUAUUUAGUUAAUUAUAUGUGUUCAGAAAGGUUGAUAGGAGUAGACUUUGAAACCAGACGACUGGCUCACAUUCCAGCUCCUUGGGCAAGUUACAUAACAUCUCGGAGCCUCUAUGUCUUCCAUUUAGAGAGUAGGAAAGAUAAUAAACAGUGCCUUACACAUAUGAACUAUUGAGCGCCAGUACCUGAUACAUAGUAAAAGAUAAUAAAUAUUGCCAUUAUUCUUAUUACCCAUGACAUUCAUCCAUGGAACAUUAUUAUACUACCCUCAUCAAAUAAGCUCGUAGCAUUUAUCUUAAGUCCAAUCCUUGUUUUUCCCCAACAAGGACCAUUUUCAAUGGAAUAGUUCUAGCACUCAAGCCCCCUCAAGCACAAACUACAAACCCCAAACAAUCUAACACUUCCUGGUGAUAACAAGGCUUGGGGAGAGGAACCAAGGAGUAAAAGUUGGAAGACUUAUUUUCCUCCUCUGAAAUAUAAGAAGGUAAGAGCUCAUGAGGUCAGAGCCUACUUCAAACUCCGACAUCGUACAAUCCUACUUGCCAGCCAUUAAAAAGUAUGGCUCACAUACAGGGCCCAACUUCCUCUCACACAAGUCUUAAUGUUUGAGAAUCCCAAAUAAACAAGUUGAAAUCCAAAGGACUAACUUUCACAUACAGCUGAAAGCUGUGGGAGGUUGUUAGCAAAAUCUGGGCUUGGCCCAAUUUUGUUCUUCAUAUGAAAUAAUGAGAUGAACAUUUCUGGACACCAAGUCACAGAGACCAGUCCAAGAAUUUUUCAGCUACCCCCUUUAGUUUCCUUAGAACAAUAUUCAGCAACACUCCAUUUUAUUGUCAUCCUCAGCUAGUGAAAUUUUUUUUUUUUUUUUUUUUUACUAAAAAUCCAAGGGGGUUGACAUAGUUUUGCCCACAAUGGGGUGACUGCUGUACAGUGAGAUGUCCUAACUCUUUACUCCAUGGUCGAGGCGGUUCAGCAAGGAGGUCCCUCUCUGGUUCUUACAAGGCACAUGAAAUAACAAGUAGGCAUUACAUGCUCCUUUGGUUGUAACCUAUGUAAUUUAUCUUUCUGGGAAAGGUGCACAAGGUCAUAGAGGGACUCAUGUAAGAACUCAUGUGAGGACUGAGAUAACUCGUCACAAACGGUCACAGUUUGCCAAUUUCAGUUGGUUCCCACGAAGGGAAAGAAAACUGUAUGCUGAGGGUUAAGGGGGCUCUUGGCCAUAAAGGGGAACAUAAGUGACUGCGCUUCUGGGGAACAGGAAGGCAGUAUUUUAGCAUCCCCACCCAGUGCCUCUCCUUUCCAUACCCACCCUCAGCCACAGCGCUGCCACUCAUCUAAAUUUUCCUUUGGCUUCAAGAAGGAUGUUGCUGCUGAUGCUAGACCUUUGAAGAGCAGCAUAUUCCAGAACCAUAGGGACAGUGACAGACACUCCCCUCCUCACCUCUGCCUCUUGCUUACUUAGGGCCUGAAAAGUGAGUCUCAAAAAUCCGAUGGGCACAAAAGAGGACAUGAAGAAAAAAACAACAAUGCUAACUUUUUAUCCUUAUUAUUUAGUUACUUUAUUAGAGUUUUCCUAACUCCUCUGCACAAAGGGAAGGGUAAGCUAGAGAAAACUAAGUGGCUUUGUCAUCAAAAGCCCUCACCACACUGGCACACAAACACCUGUCAGUGCAAAAGAUGCCUCUUUAUCAAGCCUUCAUACCUACCAGGAGCCAAGCACACUCUGAGCUUUCAGACUAUUUUCUUCCAAUGUUUUGAAGUCCCUUUCAGUUCACAUGAAGGCUAACGAUUUCAAAAAGGUGGGGAAAAGAAAGGAAAAGUUCUUUUUUUUAAGAAAAAGGAAAAGAUACUGUGCCAUGAUUAUGAAGUCCUAAAAGCCUUUUAGCUGACAGCAUAGGUUUUGUUGAAAAGCCUCUAAGAACCUCCACUGAGAGACACAAUUCAGCAAUAAAACAGAGGCAGGGCAUACACCAUUUAGCAUCCUCAGCCUCCCAAAUUCAGUACCCCAUUUUAUGCCAUAAGUCAGGUUUCUCCCUCAAUAGCCCUUUGGAACUCUCAAGGUCCAGAGUGGCAUCAAACCAACUGACACAUGAGUUGAUACAUCAUGUGCUGCCAACAGAGAAAUUAGUCUGUGCCAAACUCAGCACAAUCCUGCAGUUCAAACCAGAAUUUCAAAAAUAGCAGAAGUAGCUCAAACCCUCAGAGUGACCCAUGCCCCAUCUCUACCAGUCCACUCAGGAUGCUCCAUUCUCAGGGCCUGCAUGGAGCGAUGACUCCCCAGCUAACAAAGCCUGCUCUUCCAAGAGCUUGGCCGACCCUGCAAAGCCCAGACCACUCACACACUCAGCACUUGGACACUGAGAGUGCUUGCAUGAGACAGCACUGGCUUGUGGAGAGUUGUGGUCACAGCUCCAUAAACCUACCACUUAUAAUCUCAGUAGCUACUGCGCUGCCUGCUAUUCUGCCCAGAACGCUGGGUCCUAGCUGUAAGAGAAUAGGAAGGAGGGGUGGGAGGAGAAACUGUGACCAAGAUUGUACUUAAAAACCUCCCACACCUCCCACACAUCCCAAACACGAAACCAUGAUUUCAUCAGCACAUGUAGCAUUUGGCUUGGGUGUGUGAAAUACCAGCUUUUGAGUGAUGGAGCACUCACCCCUAUUUCAGACAUACCUUUUCUCUGAAACUAUUACACUCAGAGAGCUUCAAGUCCUGGCUCCAGACCCAUCCAUCUAACAACAGAAAGCACCUCUCAAGCUCCUUUCUGACAUGAGCCCAUCAUUCACCAUUUGCUGGUACAUACAGUUUUUGCUGACAAAGCUCAAUUACUAGAAAAAGCUCAGUAAGUAAAGCUGAUUUGAAAUAACUAUAUAUUAUAUGGAGGCUCGAGAAAGAACUGCUUAAUUAUUUAAAUACCUUCACUUCCUACCAACCACACAUCAUUUGAUUUAUCAACAGUGUUAAAUAUUUGGUAAUUUACUGGGGUCAUCUGACAAAACAACUCCAUAUAGCAAGUACAUAUCAGACACUGUAAUUCUUCUGUUGAAAUCCCUUCGUCUCCCUGAUUAAUGUUCAAAAACUGAGCUAAUGCUAUCAAACUGAGGUGCGUGCCAAUUUCAGCUCUCCAGUAAAAGUGCAAAGCUGAGAGCACACCAGCAGGGUGGCCUGAAGAACAAAUUAUCACGUGCUAUCCUCCACUGCUGCAAAGUAGUCUGAUGAGAUGGCUGGGAUGGUCCCAACAAAGAUGCUUAUGCAGAGUCAACUGAAUGGAGACAACUGGCCCCAUGGGACCCUGACUCAACUGCUACAGCCAUCAUAGAGAGAAAGCCCAAGGAGGAGGGUGUGUGCCUUCUCCCCAGCAUGCCAGACUCACCCUAGGCCCAACUUUGCUCAUGUUGCCCCCCCCAGACCAGAAUGCCCCUUUACAAAUUCUCUAGCUCCUAACAUCUACUUGCUCUUCAAGACUCAUCUCCUGCAUAAAGCUUUCCUUCCUCAUCCCACCUCAAAAUGCUCUCUCAGUCAACUCCUAUGCACUACCAGCAUUUUGUGGAG